rnacentral:rRNA from 1 species
GACGAACGCUGGCGGCGUGCUUAACACAUGCAAGUCGAACGGAAAGGCCCUGCUUUUGUGGGGUGCUCGAGUGGCGAACGGGUGAGUAACACGUGAGUAACCUGCCCUUGACUUUGGGAUAACUUCAGGAAACUGGGGCUAAUACCGGAUAGGAGCUCCUGCUGCAUGGUGGGGGUUGGAAAGUUUCGGCGGUUGGGGAUGGACUCGCGGCUUAUCAGCUUGUUGGUGGGGUAGUGGCUUACCAAGGCUUUGACGGGUAGCCGGCCUGAGAGGGUGACCGGCCACAUUGGGACUGGGAUACGGCACAGACUCCUACGGGAGGCAGCAGUGGGGAAUAUUGCACAAUGGGCGGAAGCCUGAUGCAGCAACGCCGCGUGCGGGAUGACGGCCUUCGCGUUGUAUACCGCUUUCGCCUGUGACGAAGCGUGAGUGACGGUAAUGGGUAAAGAAGCACCGGCUAACUACGUG